AGGAUAUUUUAUUUCCGAGCGCUAAAUAUAACCGUUAACACUUGUGAGUUAAGGAAACAAACAUAGGUUUCCUAAUUCUUCAAGGAGAAUCCGAAUACGCCAUUAAAUUAACACAAUUCCUCUCUCCCUCCUCCAAGAAUUGGGAAUGGCCGCCUUGGCUAAUUCUAUUUCGCACCAUAUUCUCUCUCUAAAUUCUCUGCGACGUAGUCCUUCUCAUAGACUGACUGCGAUCACUCUCCAGAAGUCGAAACGUCCAUUGCCCAGUCCGCCUCGAUUUCGUUCCAAAAGUCCUCUCUUCCUGGUAAGCCAUUCGGUAGUCCAGAUCUGGACCUUCCUCCCAGUUUUUCUCAAUCCUAUUCGUUCUCGGUUCUCAUUCGCCAGUUAAGGUACCGUAUCAUGAUCAUGAUCGCUCAUAGUACACAAUUUCAAUUAGGGUUUUGAUUACUUCGCACAUGAUUUUUUAUAUGAUAACUUAUAUAUGUGCCUUUUUUUGUGCGCGUGUGUGGCGGUCUGAAGAGACGGAUUAAGCUUGACGAAUCGGGACUCGAGAGUAGACAUUGUCAAUUGCUUAACCUGAUGCGUUGGUCCUUGCAGCUGAUCCUCUCACAUCGUUGAUUGAUACUGCUUUUGUCGGUCACUUAGAAGAGCAGGCAUUGGUUAGUGAGGGAGGUGAUGGUUAUAGUUCAGGUGGUGAUGAUGAUAUGAAGAAUGGGCUCCAAAGUAUACUUCAUUAGCACUUGCAUUGGCAUAGCAGAAGCGUUGCACUCUCUCUUUUGGCUCGGGUUUCCUGAUGAAUAUCAAGGGUAUACCCGUUGUACGUCAUUCUUGGCAAUUUUUGUCUUUAAUGUUCUUGUGAAAGUUUGAAUGACUUUGAGUUGCUGCACUUGCAUGUUCAUGCGUAGAGUAUCUGUAACAAAGCUCCAUAUCAACUAUGAGGAAUGUCAAAGCCUUUGUCGGAGAACAUUGAUGGUUUAUUUAAUUAAAUUUUUCUUAUCAGCCAUCUAAUUAUGCAGUGAUAUGCUUUCUUUGGGUCAAGUAAGGGCAUACUCUUCUUACAUUUUAAGAUUCGAGUAUAAAAGAAACGAUUGUAUGUUUUCGCAAGAUUCAGGAUUUGAUGUUAAUGAGUUUUGAUUACUUCGCACAUGAUUUUUUAUAUGAUAGCUUAUAUAUGUGCCUUGUUUAUGUGUGUGUGGUGGUUUGAAGAGACGGAUAUAAGGGAGACGAACUGGGAGUAUAAAUUGUCAAUUGCUUUGCCGGAUGCGUUGGCCCUUGGCGUGCGGCUAUAACUAGCUAUAAGAGAGAUUUAUUCUUUAGUUGGAAUAUUCUGUAGAAUAUACAUACAAGUGUGACGGUUUACCUCUGAUCGAUGUGGGAUACAGGUUUUAACAACAAUAAUUAGUCGUGUAAUUGCUUAAGAGACAGGUUAAAAAGUUUAUUUUAAAACUAACUUGUAAAAUUAACAGUGUGCCAAUAUUGCAUGCAACAUGGCUUCACGCACGUCAAUGGUGAAUUCGAGAUUUACAAAUGUGUUUUAACAUACAAACAUGUCACAUACACAAUAAGGAGUCGUUGGCUGCGAUGAAUAAUUUGAAUGCGGUAAUUCUAAGCAGGAAGUCGUGAGUUCGACUGGCAUGAGUGUUUUCAUUAUAUAAACAAUAUAUUACUCCAUAAGUUUUGAAUUCAAAGUUCAACAUUUGCUCUCACAUCAUUGGUUGACAAUGCUUUUGUCUGGUCCCUAUCUACUUUGUCUAGUAAGCGCGUGAUUACUUAUGCAUACCUCCUUUUUUUUUUUGGUCUUUCUCUCUUAAGAAGAAAAACAGAGUAAAUAAGAAGCAGGGAAAAAAUUAAGUAUUGCCAAACACAAGAUAAAUAAAUUUUCUAAGUUUAUGGAAGCAUUACUUGCAUCCUGUUUAUCAGUUUUUCGGGGUAUUAUCGCUUUUUCAUGAAAGCACUUUUGAUGGCAAGACACAAAUAUAUUCACUAAUUGGAUAGUAUGUAUAUAUAUUUAAGAUUGCUACAGUGAAAAAGGACAUAAAAUUUCAAGAAACAAAGGCUCCUGAACUUAUUGUUUUUCCUGUGUUUUGAUACUUAGAAGAGUUGUUCCUUCAUUUAUUAUUGCUUUGUAGGCUUGGUUGAACUGGCAGCUGUCAGGACUCGGGAUAUCAGUUUCGUUGUUAAACUGGUAUUUAAAUUUUAAUUCCCCCCUGCUCAACAUCACAACAUCUUUUGUUGCUGAAGAGCAGGCAUUGGUUACUGAGGGAGGUAACGGUUAUGAUUCAGGUGGUGAUAAGAUAUGAAGAAUGGACUCCAAAGCAAGAAACUCCUUCCAUCAGUGUCAACUUCAUUAGCACUUGCUGCUGGCAUUGGCAUAGGAAGAAUCAUUGUACUCUCUUGUGGCUCGGGUUUCCUUAUGAAUAUCAUGGAGUAUUUAUAACAAAGCUCUAUAUCAACUAUGAGGAAUGUCAAAGCCUUUGUUGGAGAACAUUGAUGGUUUAUUUAAUUAAGCAAGCAUUUUUUAUCAGCCAUCUAAUAUGCAAUGACAAGCAUGGGAGAUGCUUUUCUUAUCGCAUGUGACCUUCUUACUUUGUUUGAGCUUUUAGUGGUAACCGCUUUAGGGACUGGAGAUUGAUAGCCAACUAUUGCUCACAGCCACAGGAGUGAGUGCCUUGAUGCUCUAUCGAGAUUGUCAUACCCACUAUAAUUUCUUCUCUCAGCAAGUUUGCUUUGCAGUUCCUCUCCCAUUAUGGGUAUGUCAAAUUCAAGCUAGAAGGGACAUAACUAGACAUAUGUACUAGCGCAUGAUGCACGUGAUUGUAUUUUUCCAUGAAACAACUAUAGCUACAAGCUACUGUGGUCUAUGUUUUCAGCAGGUUCACUAUCUUUAUUUUUAUUUUGCCACACAGAUGGCAUCCCAGCUUCAGCAUGAUUAGAAGAAGGUGUAGAAUGUAGUGCCGGUGCGUUCGGGUUUCGUCUUGGGAACCAAGGAAUCCGUUUCGGUAUUAGGAUUUGAAGAUAUUUAAGGCGCUACCUUUUAUUGCGUUUUCUCAGUGGUAAGUGGAUGCGCUGGAAUUAGCUCGAAUUAGGAUGACGUGGCCCAACCAGCCGCUUAUAAUUGUCCCGUUUUGCUAUUGGGCCUUCUUUACUGUAUCUCCAUCAAACUGUCCUCGAGCCAUUGGUAAAGGUCAAUUUUAGUCACACUUUUAUUAAAUACACUCUUAAUUUUGCUUGACCACCCCUUGUAAAAGUGACAAGGUGUCUUUAAU